CUCCAGAGAUGAACUUGCUCCUUGGGUGGCGAGUGGCGGACGGGUGAGGAAUACAUCGGAAUCUACUUUUUCGUGGGGGAUAACGUAGGGAAACUUACGCUAAUACCGCAUACGACCUACGGGUGAAAGCAGGGGACCUUCGGGCCUUGCGCGAUUGAAUGAGCCGAUGUCGGAUUAGCUAGUUGGCGGGGUAAAGGCCCACCAAGGCGACGAUCCGUAGCUGGUCUGAGAGGAUGAUCAGCCACACUGGAACUGAGACACGGUCCAGACUCCUACGGGAGGCAGCAGUGGGGAAUAUUGGACAAUGGGCGCAAGCCUGAUCCAGCCAUACCGCGUGGGUGAAGAAGGCCUUCGGGUUGUAAAGCCCUUUUGUUGGGAAAGAAAUCCAGCUGGCUAAUACCCGGUUGGGAUGACGGUACCCAAAGAAUAAGCACCGGCUAACUUCGUGCCAGCAGCCGCGGUAAUACGAAGGGUGCAAGCGUUACUCGGAAUUACUGGGCGUAAAGCGUGCGUAGGUGGUCGUUUAAGUCCGUUGUGAAAGCCCUGGGCUCAACCUGGGAACUGCAGUGGAUACUGGGCGACUAGAGUGUGGUAGAGGGUAGCGGAAUUCCUGGUGUAGCAGUGAAAUGCGUAGAGAUCAGGAGGAACAUCCAUGGCGAAGGCAGCUACCUGGACCAACACUGACACUGAGGCACGAAAGCGUGGGGAGCAGACAGGAUUAGAUACCCUGGUAGUCCACGCCCUAAACGAUGCGAACUGGAUGUUGGGUGCAAUUUGGCACGCAGUAUCGAAGCUAACGCGUUAAGUUCGCCGCCUGGGGAGUACGGUCGCAAGACUGAAACUCAAAGGAAUUGACGGGGGCCCGCACAAGCGGUGGAGUAUGUGGUUUAAUUCGAUGCAACGCGAAGAACCUUACCUGGCCUUGACAUGUCGAGAACUUUCCAGAGAUGGAUUGUGCCUUCGGGAACUCAACA
rnacentral:rRNA from 1 species